rnacentral:rRNA from 1 species
CCAAUAGCGUAUAUUAAAGUUGUUGCAGUUAAAAAGCUCGUAGUUGAAUUUCGGGAUCAAUAUAUCGGUAGAGCCUUGGUACGUACUGGUAUCAUUGGUUUCUCUUUUCUGACGAACCAUGAUGUCAUUAAUUUGGUGUUAUGGGAAGUUAGGACUGUUACUUUGAAAAAAUUAGAGUGUUUAAAGCAGGCUUUAGCUUGAAUACAUUAGCAUGGAAUAAUGAACUAGGACGUUCGAACCUAUUUUGUUGGUUUCUAGGAUCAACGUAAUGAUUAAUAGGGAUAGUUGGGGGCAUUAGUAUUCAAUUGUCAGAGGUGAAAUUCUUGGAUUUAUUGAAGACUAACUACUGCGAAAGCAUUUGCCAAGGAUGUUUUCAUUAAUCAAGAACGAAAGUUAGGGGAUCGAAGACGAUCAGAUACCGUCGUAGUCUUAACCAUAAACUAUGCCGACUAGGGAUCGGAUGAUGUUAAUUUUUUAAUGACUCAUUCGGCGCCUUACG